rnacentral:rRNA from 1 species
UGCAGUCGACGAUGACUUCUGUGCUUGCACAGAAUGAUUAGUGGCGAACGGGUGAGUAACACGUGAGUAACCUGCCCUUGACUUCGGGAUAAGCCUGGGAAACCGGGUCUAAUACCGGAUACGACCUCCUGGCGCAUGCCAUGGGGGUGGAAAGCUUUAUUGCGGUUUUGGAUGGACUCGCGGCCUAUCAGCUUGUUGGUUGGGGUAAUGGCCCACCAAGGCGACGACGGGUAGCCGGCCUGAGAGGGUGACCGGCCACACUGGGACUGAGACACGGCCCAGACUCCUACGGGAGGCAGCAGUGGGGAAUAUUGCACAAUGGGCGAAAGCCUGAUGCAGCGACGCCGCGUGAGGGAUGACGGCCUUCGGGUUGUAAACCUCUUUCAGCAGGGAAGAAGCGAAAGUGACGGUACCUGCAGAAGAAGCGCCGGCUAACUACGUGCCAGCAGCCGCGGUAAUACGUAGGGCGCAAGCGUUAUCCGGAAUUAUUGGGCGUAAAGAGCUCGUAGGCGGUUUGUCGCGUCUGCUGUGAAAGCCCGGGGCUCAACCCCGGGUCUGCAGUGGGUACGGGCAGACUAGAGUGAUGUAGGGGAGACUGGAAUUCCUGGUGUAGCGGUGAAAUGCGCAGAUAUCAGGAGGAACACCGAUGGCGAAGGCAGGUCUCUGGGCAUUAACUGACGCUGAGGAGCGAAAGCAUGGGGAGCGAACAGGAUUAGAUACCC